rnacentral:rRNA from 1 species
CUCUGGCGGCGUGCUUACACAUGCUGUCGAACGGUGAUGUCAGAGCUUGCUCUGGCGGAUCAGUGGCGAACGGGUGAGUAACACGUGAGUAACCUGCCCCCGACUCUGGGAUAACUGCUAGAAAUGGUAGCUAAUACCGGAUAUGACGAUUGGCCGCAUGGUCUGGUCGUGGAAAGAAUUUCGGUUGGGGAUGGACUCGCGGCCUAUCAGGUUGUUGGUGAGGUAAUGGCUCACCAAGCCUACGACGGGUAGCCGGCCUGAGAGGGUGACCGGCCACACUGGGACUGAGACACGGCCCAGACUCCUACGGGAGGCAGCAGUGGGGAAUAUUGCACAAUGGGCGAAAGCCUGAUGCAGCAACGCCGCGUGAGGGAUGACGGCCUUCGGGUUGUAAACCUCUUUUAGUAGGGAAGAAGCGAAAGUGACGGUACCUGCAGAAAAAGCCCCGGCUAACUACGUGUCAGCA